AUCCAACUGACGAGUCUCAAAUAGGACGAAACGCCCGUCAAACUGGAU
rnacentral:hammerhead_ribozyme from 1 species